rnacentral:rRNA from 1 species
UCACGAGAGUUUGAUCCUGGCUCAGGAUGAACGCUGGCGGCGUGUCUAAGGCAUGCAAGUCGAACGGCUUGUGCGGAGCACAAGCCCACUAAUUAACGCUAAUGUUGUGGCACUUCGUGCUAGCACUAAUUAACACUAAAUUCGUGUUGAUUUAGUGUAGUGAGCGAAGCGAACAUUUGGUGUCUUUUAGUGGUCUCGCGCUCCGCGCGAGCAGUGGCAAACGGGUGCGUAACACAUUGGUAACCUACCCCUCAUAGGAGAAUAACCCCGCGAAAGCGGGACUAAUACUCCGUAUAAUCCCGACUCAUAUGGGUUGGAAUGAGAGACGCAAGUCGAUGAGGGAGGGGCCUAUGCCCUAUCAGCUAGUUGGUGAGGUAAUGGCUCACCAAGGCUCUGACGGGUAGGGGGCGUGAGAGCGCGACCCCCCUCACUGGGACUGAGACACUGCCCAGACUCCUACGGGAGGCUGCAGUCGAGAAUAUUCCUCAAUGGCCGAAAGGCUGAAGGAGCGACGCCGCGUGCAGGAAGAAGGCCUUCGGGUUGUAAACUGCUUUUUUCAGGGACGAACACUGACGGUACCUGAAGAAUAAGAGGUUGCUAACUCUGUGAACUUGGACCCCUUUUUGAGAAAAAGGUGUCCACACCUCCAAAAAGUCAAGGUGUCACAUAAAAAAUUUAUCAGCGGGCAAAGCCCGACCAAUAAAUUUUUUAUGUGAAUUUGGCGAAUUAAGGUGUAAAAGUUUGGUGCAGAGCUCCCGCAGUAAUGCGGGAUAGGAAAAUCUUCCUACUUCGCUAAAGCUACGCAGGACGAGACAUAUUUAGUGUCUCUGAUUGACGCGUAUGCUUGGUGAACGAGGACACUCCAUAGCUUUAUGCGACGGAGUGCGCUAUAUGCUGGAACAUCUUGCUAAUGUUUGCGUACCCCCGCAAGGCGGGGGUGACAAUCGCAAAAAGACCUACGAUUAUGAAUCGGUCUCGCGCGAGCGAGGCGAAGGCACUGUUGCCCGGUACAGGUCGCGAGACAAUCAGCAGGCAAUCCGCCCGAGGCGGAGCGCCUCAGAGACUACACGCGAGACCCCCGCUAAGCGGGGUGAUGAUAUAGUCCACGUUCCGAAUGGAAAUUGAGUUAAGGUGGCCAGCCCCGUUAGAAAUUGACGGGAGGUGGUUGCCGCUAAUAAGCAUUGUACAGUACUGACUUUCAUAUUUUUAUGAAAGGUACUCAAUGCAAUUUCUAACGGGGCCAGCAGCAGCGGUAAUACAGAGACCUCAAGCGUUAUCCGGAUUUAUUGGGCGUAAAGCGUCCGCAGACGGUUUGGUGCGUCCCGCGUCAAAUGCCGAGGCUCAACCUCGGCACCGCGCGGGAAACGGCCAGACUCGAGACUGGGAGAGGCAAGCGGAAUUGCCGGUGUAGUAGUAAAAUGCGUUAAUAUCGGCAAGAACACCAAAUGCGAAGGCAGCUUGCUAGAACAGAUCUGACGUUCAUGGACGAAAGCGUGGGGAGCGAAAGGGAUUAAAACCGAUGCAUAGCAUCGGGAAGCACGAAUAUCGAAUCUCUAAUCUCUAAACAAUAUCGAAGCACGAAUGUUCCAAACAACAAACGUUUUUUGGGAUUUCGAAUUUAUGACUUGUUUAGAAAUUCGGAUUUAGUAUUUCGUAUUUCCGAUGCUGUGCAUCGGCCGCAUAGGGGUAUGCGGAAAUUAGUCCAUUCUCGUGGCAACACGAGAAACAAAAUACACUCUCCGAGUCCGUUAUUGAGCAAGUCACGAUACGGGGCGAGCGACAAUUACGGAAUCGUGAGUCCGCCAAAGCCGCAAGGCGACGGCGGAGCUAUAUGCGGGAAACUCUGUGUAUCCGAUAGUACCCAGCACUUUGCUUGUAAGUUUUAUUGGCAAAGUGUUGGGUAACAAUCUAUCGGCGUGACCUGUUAGAAGCAUGGGGCUUCUAACAGGUUGAACAGACAAUCCGCAGGGAAGUUAGGAGAAAAGAAAGGAGCUGGUAUGCAUUCAGUAAACGAAUUUGGUCAACUUCUUUGUCUCGUAUGCUUUGCCGUGUUACUGGCUGCAACGGUCGCAUGGCUCGCGACGGGAGAAAGAGUGCUGAGUGACUGGAUGGCGUACGGAGGUGGUAUUCUUGGAUUCAUAGGACUUUUUCUUUGGAGGGUCCUGGUGAUUGAAAAGAAAUCCUCUCCUUAACCCCUCAACGACUACACGCAGUGCACCCCGCGGAACGAUAGCAACAUCUUCGUUCCGCGGCGGUGAUGAUAUAGUCUGAACCCCGCAGCGAUGCGGGGAGGUCGGCAGAAAUGUCCGAUCCGCGUAGCAAGAGUUUGGAAUUUCGAGUUUUGAUCAUUCGGAUUUGUUUUCCGCCCAAGGCGGAUCAGCCUCAGGCUGAAGAAAUUCGGAUUUCGUGCUUAGAAAUUUCAAUUUUGUUACGAGUAACAAAAUUGUAGAUACCCCUGUAGUCCACGCCGUAAACGAUGGAUGCUAGGCAUUGGCAGUAUCGACCCUGUCAGUGUCGUUCACCUAAGGUAACCCCUUAAGCAUCCCGCCUGGGGAGUACGGUCGCAAGACUAAAACUCAAAGGAAUUGACGGGAACCCGCACAAGCGGUGGAGCAUGUGGUUCAAUUCGACGAUAAGCGAGGAACCUUACCAGGGCUUGACAUGUCUGGAAUCCGGCCGAAAGGUUGGAGUGCCCGCAAGGGAACCAGAACACAGGUGCUGCAUGGCUGUCGUCAGCUCGUGUCGUGAGACGUCGGGUUAAGUCCUACAACGAGCGCAACCCUUAUCUCAUGUUGAAUUGUUCAUGAGAGACUGCCUCGGUUAACGAGGAGGAAGGUGGGGAUGACGUCAAGUCAGCAUGGCCCUUAUGCCCUGGGCGACACACGUGCUACAAUGGAGCCGACAACGGGACGCCAAGUCGCAAGACGGAGCAAAUCCCUUAAACGGCCCCCCAGUUCGGA